UAAACAACAGAGAUGGAAAUUAUUCACGAAGAAUUCACAACCAAGAACAAGAAUGAAGUCAAACAUUGAAACAAACCCAAACUACAAGUUGUACCGUUGUAGCAGGGUUAAGCAUCGAACCCAGUCACCUCCGAACUACAGACUUGCGUUCUAACCAUUGUACCGUCGUACUAUAACUUAUACUAAAUACCUAAAAAAGCUUAACAGUUUCUCUGCAGUUAUAUUAAGUCACAUUUUUUACAAAAAAAUAUAUAUUUUCAAAUGGUACAUUAUCUUAUAUUUAAUCCAUAAACGUUUUAAGAAUUGCCAUUUUGUUGCCUGUUUCCUAUGCUAUUGUAUUUUGGGGAUACUUUUUUAACCGAAAAGUUAAACAAAAGUUGUAAUAUUAAAUGGGUCAAACUUUUGUUUCGUUUAUAGUAAGGAUAUGACGCAGCAAAAAAAAGAAUGUUCUGCUGACGUCACUUCCCGUCCCGAAACAUCCGGAACCCAUCGACGUCAUCUUCACACCAGGGGGCGCAAGAUAACCCGUUCAAGGUUAUUGUUGACGUCACAAUAUUACAAAACCGAGCUCCUUCCCUGUGUUUCGCUACAGCGAGUUGUUUAUAAAGCACCGCAAAAUUGUAACCCCAUAGUGACGUCACGAUGUCAGCAUAAUACGUCACAACUGAUAAAUCAGACGUCACAAUUCAGCAGCGAAAAUACAUUGGAGACGCUCGAAUAUAUUCGACAAGCCGAUCACGUGACUUCUGUAGAAAGAAAAAAACAAAGUAUUUCGUCAAAAUUUUCUCGAAUGAAAAAAGAGUUAAAGAAAUUGAAAAAUGAGAUUGUUGCGUUGCGACGACUAGAUGAAUUGGAAAUAAAAAGAGCCGAAAAAAUAAAUAAAGAUUUGAAAACUUUAAAACAAAGUGAACUCCGAUUGAAUCUUCGUUCUAUGGAAAUUGAGAAAAAACAACAACUUUUGAUUCAACCGAUUUAAAAUAAAAAUACAUCGUUGUAAUAAAAAUAAAUUAAUGGACGUAUGUAACUUAUUUAUCCUCGCAUGGCGGGAAACGACAGUCGUUAAAACACGGGUGUUCUGUUUCAUACACCUCGUGCUCGUUUACGGGUUACCAUUUAUGAAACUUUGUAAGUGAUAACAUUUAUGCUGACAAUUCGGAAAAUCCUUUAAUGACCACUGGGUUUGAGAAAUUGCCGUUAAGUGCGUCUUGUACACCAUUUGAUAAGGAAGGGCACCGGGACAAAUUUCAGUGAGCCUCGUUAUUAUUAUCAGUCUUCCAAACCAGAUCUUGGCAAUUAACAUGGUUGCCAAGGAUUGGCUGUAUGAUAGUACUGAUAAUAAAUCUGUCGACAUUUACAGCGACAAUCAGGCUUACCACGUAUGUAACUUUGUGGGUGCUUUUUGUACGUGAUACAUGGUACGCCUUACAACAAAUGGCAACUGGAAUCAGCACGUACGACUACACUGGAUAGCUGGUUAUUCUGACCAUGUGGGGAACGAGUUU